rnacentral:rRNA from 1 species
GUGCCAGCCGCCGCGGUAAUACGUAGGGGGCAAGCGUUGUCCGGAAUUAUUGGGCGUAAAGCGCGCGCAGGCGGUCUCUUAAGUCUGAUGUGAAAGCCCACGGCUCAACCGUGGAGGGUCAUUGGAAACUGGGGGACUUGAGUGUAGGAGAGGAAAGUGGAAUUCCACGUGUAGCGGUGAAAUGCGUAGAUAUGUGGAGGAACACCAGUGGCGAAGGCGACUUUCUGGCCUACAACUGACGCUGAGGCGCGAAAGCGUGGGGAGCAAACAGGAUUAGAAACCCUAGUAGUC